ensembl:miRNA MIR26B microRNA 26b
UGGGUCUGGGCCUGGUUCAAGUAAUCCAGGAUAGGUUUGUUCAGACAAGCACAGCCUAUUCCGGAUGACUUGGUUCAGGAACGCUAC